CUACGGGUGGCACCAGUGGGGAAUAUUGCACAAUGGAGGAAACUCUGAUGCAGCAACGCCGCGUGGAGGAUGACACUUUUCGGAGCGUAAACUCCUUUUAUAUAGGAAGAAGAUGACGGUACUAUAUGAAUAAGCGCCGGCUAACUCCGUGCCAUCAGCCGCGGUAAUACGGAGGGCGCAAGCGUUACUCGGAAUCACUGGGCGUAAAGAGCGUGUAGGCGGAUUAAAAAGUCAGAAGUGAAAUCCUAUAGCUUAACUAUAGAACUGCUUCUGAAACUCUUAAUCUAGAAUAUGAGAGAGGUAGAUGGAAUUUCUGGUGUAGGGGUAAAAUCCGUAGAGAUCAGAAGGAAUACCGAUUGCGAAGGCGAUCUACUAGAACAUUAUUGACGCUGAGACGCGAAAGCGUGGGGAGCAAACAGGAUUAGAUACCCUAGUAGUC
rnacentral:rRNA from 1 species